rnacentral:misc_RNA from 1 species
AUUCUUUUAUAAAAAAAAAAAAAUCACUUAAAUCAUUUUUUUAUUUUUUGUAUUUUCUUCAUGUUUAGGUGAGGUUCUUGUAUUCAUUUUGUUUUUACUAUUUAAAUUUUGAAAGGGUAAAAUCAAUAAAAUGGUUAGCUAAAAAAUAAUAGCUAAUAAGGGCCUUUUAAGUUUAGUCCAAUUUCAAUAAGAUUAAGGUGUUAUUUGAAGCUUAGUAUAAUCCCAAGAUAAGCCCAAUUUCAUUUAUCUUUUUCAUGUGAUGUUCAUGUUAAGAUGAUGUAUAAAUAAAUGUGUAGGCAAAUAUGACAAUUUUGUGCAGAUUUUGUUGUAUUGAAAAUUUGGGAAAUGUCUAGUUUUUAGGGAAAGCUCUAUCGAAUUUUUAGUAAAUUUGUAAGUAAUGAUAUAUUUGAUUUGAUUUGUAUUAAAUCUUUUUAUUAUUAAAUUAUGUUUAACUUAUGAAUGAUGAAAUGUGCACAUAUUUUUUCUAGUUUAAUUGAAUUAAUAAAAGUUAAGGUUGUGAUUAAUUAGUGCCGAUGAUGAGACUUUGAUCUUGUUAAGUGGAGUACCCACAAAUGGAUUAGACU